rnacentral:rRNA from 1 species
UACGUAGGGGGCUAGCGUUGUCCGGAAUCAUUGGGCGUAAAGAGCGCGUAGGCGGUCCGGUAAGUCGGUUGUGAAAGUCGGGGGCUCAACCCUCGGAUGCCGAUCGAUACUGUCGGGCUAGAGUCCGGAAGAGGCGAGUGGAAUUCCUGGUGUAGCGGUGAAAUGCGUAGAGAUCAGGAAGAACACCGGUGGCGAAAGCGCUCUGCUGGACCUUAACUGACACUGAGGGACGAAAGCUAGGGGAGCGAAUGGG